rnacentral:tRNA from 1 species
AGGGGUGUAGUUCAGUGGUAGAGCAUGUGCUUAGCAUACACACGAUCCUAGGUUUGACCCUCAGCACUUCAC